GAGCUCCUCAUGCUGUCAUGUGAGAAUAUGGAAAUUGAACUACAGCUCCUUUAUAAAACUUAUUCAGAGCCACAUGGCUAGUAAGUGGCAGACACUGGACUUGACCCAAGACAACUGACUCCAAGCACACUUACUAAACCACUGUUCUACAGACAGAAGAUUCAACCUAGAAAUCUCUUAAAUGCAACACAAGUAGGUAAAAUAAUAACAAUAAAAAAAGGUAUGAAGAAAUGAAGAGGAAUAGACAUAGAAGUUCUAGCAUCUAAGAGAAAUUCUACCUGGAAAGCUUAACAAUAACAAAAGGAAGCAAUAUUUAAAUGCAUGACUGGGCCAAGCAUGGUGGCUCACACCAGUAAUCCCAGCACUUUGGGAGACUCAGGUGGGAGGGUUGCUUGAGGCCUGGAGUGGGAGACCAGCUUGGGUAACAUAGUGAGA
rnacentral:lncRNA from 1 species